AUUGAACGCUGGCGGCAGGCCUAACACAUGCAAGUCGAGCGGAUGAAGGGAGCUUGCUCCUGGAUUCAGCGGCGGACGGGUGAGUAAUGCCUAGGAAUCUGCCUGGUAGUGGGGGAUAACGUCCGGAAACGGGCGCUAAUACCGCAUACGUCCUGAGGGAGAAAGAGGGGGAUCUUCGGACAUCACGCUAUCAGAUGAGCCUAGGUCGGAUUAGCUAGUUGGUGGGGUAAAGGCCUACCAAGGCGACGAUCCGUAACUGGUCUGAGAGGAUGAUCAGUCACACUGGAACUGAGACACGGUCCAGACUCCGACGGGAGGCAGCAGCGGGGAAUAUUGGACAAUGGGCGAAAGCCUUAUCCAGCCAUGCCGCGUGUGUGAAGAAGGUCUUCGGAUUGUAAAGCACUUUAAGUUGGGAGGAAGGGCAGUAAGUUAAUACCUUGCUGUUUUGACGUUACCAACAGAAUAAGCACCGGCUAACUUCGUG
rnacentral:rRNA from 1 species